rnacentral:lncRNA from 1 species
AAUUUUAUACAUAAACUAAACCUUGUCAACCGCAAAUCUUUCAUAAUACCAAAUAAUUCAAUAAUAAUAGCAUACCAAUGUUCAACAUAAACCGAACAUUCAUAAGUUGGAUUAGAUCUACCAAUAUUCAUCAUCGACAUAUGCGCAACCAUCAUGCAAAUAUAUAAUCCUGAAUCUCGGCAUUCAUAUUGCAGCUAGGUAAAUUAUAAAAAAUUUUUCAGACCUGAUAGUAGCACACAGACCAAGCACA